rnacentral:snRNA from 1 species
GGAUGUGAGGGCGAUCUGGCUGCGACAUCUGUCACCCCAUUGAUCGCUAGGGUUGAUUCGGCUGAUCUUGCUGUCUAGGCGGGUAUCUCCUUCCUCACUCACCGCUACAUGUGCGUCCCUGCUGAAGCAGUGCGCUCAGGCAAAGAGGACGGCCUUCCCCGAAUAGAGAUGGAGCGGCCUACGGUCAAGGGUAUACGAGUAGCUGUGCUCCCCUGCUAGAACCUCCGAACAAGCUCUCAUGAUUGGAUUUUAGUCAUACGGUAUACCUACACCCAUCUCUCCACACGUGAACAUUUC